GCAGGCACUGGUUUGGCAAGAUGGCGCGCGGCAAUGAUGAACCGAAAGAAGCUCUGAAAGAUAAUAACGUCGACACCAGUGGACCUAGACGAUAUCGAUGAGAUUUGUGAUGAGGAGUGUGAGGCUCUCAGCCAAGCGAUGGAUAGAAUCAACGCAUGCCUGGAUGCUCUGGAGAGAAAGAACAACGCUUUAGUUCGUCAAAUGCGCCAACUGCUCGAGGAAUCGAAGCGAGCUGACAGCGGCCCGUCUGCGAGUGACGCUGCGGCGAAUGAAGAAACUGAGCAAGUUUAGCAAAAAAACAAAGUCGACAAGUUUCGCAGUCUUGCGAGGUCACCUGCAUUCCGUUUUGUUUGCUGUGAUUCCCAUCAAGAACACCAUGCUAGUUCAAUGUAGUCCUCGUCACUGUCGGUCACAUGACUACAUGUCAUGUUCCGCUGCGCCACUGACCGAAUAAAUGAUUUUCUUCUUCU
rnacentral:lncRNA from 1 species